UCGGACGUGGUGCACGGUGCACACCCACUCGCUAAGCUUGUCUUUCACCAAAGUAGUACUUAUGUGGGAGGCCUGGGUUCGACUCCCAGUGUCCGAU